rfam:Fictibacillus arsenicus strain G25-54, complete genome.
AGUGAUGGUAGAGGAGCAGGAACCAAUAGUAUCCCAUCUGAAGAGAAGAAGCUCUUGUGAGGGUGGAAGAAAGGGGAUUCUUGCCGAAGUUUAAAAGGACUUCUAGCCUUUUAUGCUGGACCUGUAUUGAAUAAAUACAGAGCUGUCACACAAUUCCCCCCAGGACUUGUGUGGAGGACUAUCUCACUA